GCUGGGCACUGUGGCGUGUGCCUGUAGUCCAAGCUACUUGGGAGGCUGAGGUGGGAGGAUCACUUGAGCCCAGGAGGCCGAGGCUACAGUGAGCCAAGAUUGCACCACUGCACUCAAGCUUGGGUGACAGUGUGAGACCCUAUCUCUA
rfam:Homo sapiens chromosome 19, GRCh38 reference primary assembly.